ensembl:lncRNA
AGUGGAACAAUGAGGAUUUGAAUCCACGUAUGUCUCACUGGACAUAUGCUCAGGAAUUGCCUUACUGUCAUUUCCAUAGAGGACAAUGGCCUGGGCCCACACCACCCUCCUGCCUGUCUUCAGCCUUUGUCAGUGGAUCCUUUCCCCACUUGGAAGACUCCCCUUGCAUCCUCCUCCAUGUUGUCCUCCAAAUGUGCUGGCCGAGAGCCCAGUGCCUGAAUCAGAGGGACCUGGGUUUGAAUCCCACCUCUGCCAUUAAACACCAGCUGUCUGACCUCAACUGUGUUCCUUUGCUUCUCUGGGCUUCAGAUUCUCCAUCUGAAUAAUAAUAGAAGCUACCUUGGGAUUGCCUCAAGGAUCAAAUGCGAGAGAGUUCACCUUAAACAAUGAGUGGAGGGCCUGGUGUGUAAUAAAGCACUCAAUAAAUGUUAACUAUUAUUGAUCUUCACCUGGGCAGUGGCUGCUGACUGUUUAAGUUUCUCAGCCUUUGAAUCAGGUACUUCCGACCCAGCUCUAUUUAUUGACAUGGAAAGAUGCCCAAAGUGUACUGCUGAAGGGAAAAAAGCAGGCUACAAAAGAAUAUAUUCCUCCCAGGUCAUUUUAAAGAUCAAAGCUAACCAUGGACAUCUAGCGCCUAGUAGGGUACCUGGGACACAGGAAGCUGUCACUGAAAGCUAGCUGUGACUAUACAAUAUAAUACCAUAGUAAUACAAAAGCAUUUUUGUAGUCCGUAUGAUGCCACCUUCAAAUAUUAUGUGAGCUCCUGUGAAACGAGAUGAUAUUUGCAAUGUGCUUGCAUCAAAGGGAGGUAGAGCUGCGUAUUCCCUUCUGCCUUCUUUCUGACACGUUUCAGAGAGUGAUCAUGGGCAGGGCUUGAGUUGACCUUGGGACCCAUUGAUCUGAUGUGAAUUUUGCUACUUUUUUUUUUUUUUUUUUUUUUUGAGAGACCGGAGAGUGCAGUGGCUGUUCACAGGCACGAUCCCAGCACUGAUCAGCGCGGGAGAUUUGACCUGCUCUGUUUCCAGCCUGGGCCAGUUCACCUCUCCUUAGGCAACCUGGUGUUUCUUUGCUCCCAGGAGGUCAUGUUUUGGUCCUUUUUUGUGUGGCACUGGAGUGAAAGAAAAGAAAAGCAUUGCCCUUUGGCGUUGAGACUACAAACUUGGGUUUAGGGUGCUCUUUGUAAUAACUGAGGUACUAUAACACAUUAAACACUAGGGGGCGCUCCAAUCUGUUGGCAAUAGAGAUAAAUACAAAAAGCCGUGAUAAUAACGAUGCUAUAUGAAUACUGCUGUUACAUUUAACAAUGCCGUUUACAUUGAACACUGAGCUCUUACUAUGAGAGCCUAAAAUAGAGCAAGAGAGUCACAAACUUUAUCACCUUUUAACCUUGCAAACAUCCCAUUAGAGAACAUUAUCAAAGAUUUUCUAAUAGGGCAUAUCACUCUGUGGGAUUUAAAAAAUUUGUGUAUUACAUAUAUACAUAUGUACAUAUAUAUACAUAUAUACAUAUAUAUAUACACACAUACAUAUACACAUAAUUUUUUUUGAGACAGGGUCUCACUCUGUCGCCCAGGCUGGAGUGUAGUGGCACAAUCGCAGCUCACAGUAGCCUAGAUCUCCUGGGCUCAAGCGAUCCUCCUGCCUCAGCCUUCCAAGAAGCUGAGAUUACAGGUGUGCACAACUAUACCUGGCUAAUUUUUUAAUUUUUCUGUAGAGACAGGGUCUUGCCAUGUUGCCCAAGCUGCUCUUUGACCUCCUGAAGUACUAGGAUUAUAGACGUGAGCCACUGCAACUGGCCUAAAAAUAUAUUUUUUUAAUGGAGUUGUAAUUCACAAGUGUUGUAAAAGGUAAAAACAUUAAGUGUACAGCUUGGUGAAUUGUUACAUGUGUAUACACACAGGUAACCUCCAUCCGGAUCAAGAUGUGAAGCUUUUCUAAUAUCCUUUCUACUCACUCCUACUCCCACCCAAGGAAACCAUGCUCCUAAUUCUAUUACCAUUUAUUCGUUUUGCUUAUUUCUGAACUUCACGUAAAUGGAAUCAUACAUAUGCAAACUUUAGGGUUGCCAUAAAAAUCCAGGAUGUCAUUUUUCUUUUUUUUGAGAUGGAGUCUUGCCCUGUCACCCAGGCUGGAGUGCAGUGACACGAUCUCAGCUCACUGCAAUCUCCAUCUCCUGGGUUCAAGCAAUUCUCCUGUCUCAGCCUCCUGAGUUGCUGGGAUUAGAGGUGCAUGCCACCACGCCUGGCUAAUUUUUUUUUUUUGUAUGUUUAGUAGAGACAAGGUUUCACCAUGUUGGCCAGGCUGGUCUCAAACUCCUGACCUCAUGAUCCGCCCACCUUGGCCUCCCAAAGUGCUGGGAUUACAGGCAUGAGCCACCACACCUGGCCUCAAUGUGCUCUUCGACCAUAGUCGCCGCCUCCUCCCCUCCUCCUCCUCCCUCCUCCUCGACGGAGUCCACCUGUCACCCAGGCUGAGUGCGGUCGUGACCUCGUUUCACUGCUCCGCUUCUCCCCGGUUCACGCCAUUCUUCCUGC